rnacentral:lncRNA from 1 species
GGCUGCCAGCACGCUGUCACCUUUCAUUAGGACCUGCUAAUUGGUUUCACAUGUGUGUGGAACCAUCCCAGGACUGGAUUCCAAUAUGAGGAGAGAAAUGGGUUAUUUCACUGAAAGGUAUGACUGAGUUAGACUGAAGAAACUCUUAUAUGACACUGUACUAUGGCUUUAAUGAGCAUUAGUGUUAGGAUGACAUUUUGUUUAGAGAGAUAUUGAUGGUAAAAAAGAAAAGGAUUUGAACUCCAGUUCACCAUUUCCUAAGCAUGACCUUGAGCUAUUCAUUCACUCUAUGUAGUCAUUUAAUAAAUAUUUAUUGAGCCCUAUAUAGGCCAAGCACUCUGUGAGGUGAUGGAAAUUCUCCUGCCCUCAAAAAGUAACAGUAAUUAUUAUUUGCAAUCUACCUCCCUAAGGCAUAACAAUGCCUAUCUUUCAGAGUUAUGUGUAAUAGGAUUUGUAAGUGGAUUUUUUUUUGUCUCAUAAUUGUCUACUUGGCUCCAAAGUUAGAGACAAAUAGGUGAAAAUUAGGAGACAAAUAGAUGAUUGGUAAACACCAGUCAUUAAGAGGCAAAUUCAUUCUGCUACUCCGCUUACCACUGUACUCACUAAUCUUGAGGGGACUACUGAAUUGUAAAUCUUCAGCCUCAGAAAGGGUUCUGUGUCUUUUCCUUUUACUCUUUCUCAGUGCCCCUUAUGCAUAAUCCAAUGGAGUAUUCCAAGGAAAAUAUUUUUAAUGACUGGGGGUUGCCUGCAAUAAGUUGAGCCUGAAAUCUCAUUUUUCAGUUGGAUACCUACUCAUGUCAUGGAUCUGUAGUAUUCUUUUUGCUUACUCCAGCAGUAGGAAAUAAUAUAGGGACAGAACUCAAGAGAGAGAAAAUGAGCAAUAGGGCAAUGAGGCACACUCCCAUUGUCUGGUAGAAAAAAGAUGCAUGAGUCUUCCAUAUGUCAAGUAGAUACUACAAAGGUACCAGGCUUGAACUAUUGUGAAGCAAGUUCAUCCUAGACUGUGACUUACUAAGAGAAGAGACCCCAGCAGCAAAAGCCUGUAAGGUGAGUUAUGCAGGAAAUAAGGAGACUGGAAGAGGUCUACAGGAGUCGAUUUCCUAUGAAAGGAGGUUGUGCAAUGAAGAGACUGCCUGCUACAUGGAGGACAGAGGUCACAACAACAACUGGUAAGCAAAACAUUUCUGCUGACUUUUGAGAAUUCUCUCUUCUUCCUCAACAUAGAAAGGGCUCAGAAAAUGCAAAAGGGAGGGGAAAGAGUUACGAGUAGCCUCCUCUCACUGCCACUGUGUCCUGGGGAGGAGAUGGACAUUUGAAUUGGACAAGAAACUGAAGUGGAUGGCACUGGAUUGCCUCUUUUCCACUCUUUUCCAGCCUAAAAAGUUCACAAAAUUGGCAUUUGCUGGAGAAGCCAUGAAGUCUUGGGAAAGGGAGAUUCGACAGAGCAUGUUACAGCCACAAUAGGAGAAAAAAACCUUCUCAGGUUUGAACCCUGCUGAGUUCACAGUUUUCAAUAAAUUGCUGACAAAUGCAAGGUGUUCAGACAAGUAGGUAGUGCUCCACAAAUAGUAGAUAUUAUUCUAGUCACCUAGAGAGAAUAAAUGUUCAGAAAAUGUCUACGUAUGUUUUGCUAUCAAAGAGCGAAUAAGAUAUUCAAUUUGUAUUUUUGCUUUAGAUAAAGCAUAAUGCCCUUAUUAUGCCUUCAAGUCUUCAUUUCCCCCACGAAGGGACGUUUUUCUGUGUUAUUUGACCAUAUGCCUUUUGCUACGCUGGGCAUUUGCCUUCUUUGACCUUUUCUGGACAUUCCCACUUUACCCGCCAGGGAUUGAGGAGAUUACAAAGGUCAUCUAAUCAUCUAGUCUCGUUUCCAAUUUGGUUAAGAUAAAAUAUUAUUUAAUUACUAGAAAAAUACUUUGUUAUUAAAAUCAAAGUGUCUUGUGCUGGUUUGCAAACAAAGUAAUUUCUACACGCUUAUAACACAAAGAGGAGACCAGAUGUGGUGAAGUAGAAGAGAGAGGACACUGGCUUUGGAGCCAGGGGACCCAGAGCGGCUCCCAGUAAUGUGAUAUUUUAUGUGUUUUCCAACCCCAUGCAGCAUCCAUUGCCUCACCUGUAAAAUAGGGGUUUUGACAAGGACCACAUCGAGUUAUUGUGAAGAGUAAAUAGAUGAUUAUAGAAAACAUGUCACACAGUGCUAGGCACAUAGAUGAAGCUUAAGGAAUAGCUGUUGUCCCGUUUCCAAGGUUGCAGAGUCAGAAGACACCCCUAAGAAGACAUAAAGUACUGUUGUUCAGAAGGAAGGCAUUGGGAAAGUCAAAAGGACACCAGAAAUAGUGAACUCAACAUUGAUUUGCACAUUUGACCAAGGUUGGUGGUCAUUUACGCAGCAGUAUUGAGAUGAUCCAUAGAAAGUCAUGAUAACACUAUUGGAGCAAAGUCACAAUAUUUGUAUUUUCAUAUGUAUCUCAUGAUGUAUAUAAGUACUCAUUUUAACACCCAUUGUUUAAAAACUGUUCAGAAUUCAGAAAAAUUAAAAAAUCAUUUAAACUAAAUAUUACAUUAUUGACUAUAACUUAAAUUUCAAAAUGUAAACAUUAACCAUCUAUUAUAAUUUGAAUUAGCAGGAUAAAAAGCAAUACAAAAGUAUAUAAAAUAAAGUAAACAUUGCACAAAAUGAAGAAAAUGAAUCCUGAAAAUUGAAAAUGAAUUAAAUUGGAUUUUCUGGCAAAUAUGAUCUUAAGAACAACGUGUAUCAAUGGUGUUAUCUUCGAUGGUGAGCCUCAUUUUGGGGCAUAUUCUUCUAGCCACUGGAAACACUUUCCAUAAUUUAAAAUAGACAGAAAAAUAGUGACGAGACAAAAAGCAACUAAGUCCAAAUAUCUUCCUCUGGAACUUUUAUUUACAAAUGAUUCCAUCUUUUUGUGAGAGUAUAAAGAUGAUCUUUUAGAAAUUUUUAUUUUUAUUGUAUUAAAGACUACGAUGUCUUUAUUGACAGCUGUAGUUUUUGUUAUUAAGGCCCAGAAGUCAGCUUACUGGAUGCCUGGUUCUUAGCUUUUGCUGUGAAAUAGCCUUUUUUGAAACAAAACAAAUCCAUCAGACAGGCAAGAGCUUCUACCACCAAACACUGACUGUUUUAGCUAUCAAUCUUACCCCAUUGGAGGCAGCCUUAUAUUGAGAGUAAGACGGACUCCUUUUUCCUUAUAAUUGUCUUUUAAGGAGGUCCUAUUUCAUUAAAUAUUCAGGGAAAAUUGUUUUUUGUUUGUUUGUUUGUUUGUUUUUUAAAAACCUUCUUUCAGGAAGUAGAACUAGGGUGAAUUUAAUCUGGGAAAAUUUGGGCUACUGUCCCAGUCAUCUUUGCUUUCUAGCUCAGAGGCCUUGAGAGAUCGUAAGGUCUCUCUUUUAAUGCUGGGUUUAACUCUCUGGUAAUUCUCAAAGUAUAAAUAAUUCAUGUCUCAGGUUUUAAAAAUGUUAAAAUAAUGAUAUCACACUAACAAAAUAUUGGCGUUUGGGUACAUAAGAGUCUGUAGUAUGAUCUACUAGAGUUCUAGAAUGUUGAACAUUGAUGGUGCAAUUAUUAAUUAAAAUUAUCUUGCUCAGAAGGUUUUCCUCCAUUAAACUACACUUUUUAGAGUAAGCUCACUUUGGUUUAAGGCACCUGUUCAUAGGAUGUCCUUAAAUAUAUGAAUAUUGCCCUGGGAGUUACCCUUUUAGUCAUUAAUAACUGGGCAUAAAUCACUUAUCUGCCAGGUAAUCAAGAACAGGACCCAGAACAAGUGUUUUUCUUUCUUUCUUUCUUUCUUUUUUUCUUAGGCUGGAGCAGUGGAAAGAGAACUAUGCACAAGGAUGAGGAGAAUAAUUGUGAUUGUGGGACAGGGCCCCAGGAGAGAGGUAUAGCAGACUGGCCUUGGAAAGCCUGCAGCUGCAUCAGGAAGGCAAAGCAUGCUUGGAAAAAAUGCUGACUGAAGUAAGGCAGAACCUAGAGGGUGGGUGGAUACUCCAUAACUGUAUUCAAAUUGGGCACUCUCUUGUUGUAAAGCCUUUGCGUAAGUGCAACUGAGAAAAUAUAUGGUAGAAAAAAAAGGCUAUGUUCUGACCAGCUCGAGGAUGGGGGAAUAUCAUGCAUAAUAUGUGCAAACUAUGUGAAGAAAAGUACAAGUUAAUAUGAUCACAAAAAUAUUCAGAAAAACACAGAGUGAAGGAGGUAAGACAAGAGGUAAUGAAAUAAUUAGUGAAGUAUGGGCUCCUGUGCAAGGGAAUAUCUUGAGACAGAUUUUUGAAGAGAAGUUAGAUGUGGGCUGAUGAAGAGGAACUGUCACUCCACAUUGAGGGAGUGGUCUCUGCAAAGGUGGUAGCUUAGCUUGGGUUCCUAAGAAAAGAGUCUGAGGUUAAUCUUAUGAGCACAUGCUUUAUUGUAGAGUACAAGUCCAGAGAAGCAAGUGUGACAAAAAAGGAAGGAUAGGAAACAAAAAGUCAUGUUAUUGAGCUCUGGUUAUAGGAAAUUUAAAUGGUUACUCAGUUACACUGAACAUCUCCAGAGAGAUUCAUGAAUUCACGGCACCUUAGAAAAAUUCUUUGGUGGAAAGAAGGGCAAACAAUCUAUCUACUGGCUUCUUUCCAUCUCCUGUUUCUCAUGCUUACUUGACCUAACAAAGUGUUAACUUGCACAUCUUCCCUCCAGACAGCUGCUGGGUUAGUAACUAACUCCAACUUAGUUACUGGAGCUGCUGCUGUUUCUGCUGUGAUGAGAGGGAAAGCCUUCUGUAUCCCUGCACACUUUAAGCAGGUAAAUGUUAGAUUGCUGCAUCAGCUCCUGGACUCUGCAUAACUUCUGAUGUCCUUCUGGUAAACCUUGAUCCCUUAUUGCAUCAUGUGACCUCCUCUCCCCCAGCUCUAGCUCUGCCUAGCCGCAGUCCCUGGAAAGUAAUACAGUGGAGGAGGACCCCCAUGAUUACAUUCUGCGAGAGGAGUUCCUAAGCAUUGCAGCAUGAAAAACAGUGCUUAAAAGCUUAAGCAAUAUUUUUCAAAAUAUUGACCUAUCUCAGUAGGAACUGAGAUAGGCAACAAAUCUGACUGACAGAAUACAUUUCAAACUUUCAAAAUUGUGUCUUCCUCUUACUGUGGGUCCUUACCCCUGAACAAAGUUCAUCACACCUGGCUUCACGUUGCAGGGUAUAUUUUUUUGAUGCCUGCCUUAUCUGGCUUCCAGUCAUGCCCUGGAAUUUGAGUGUCUCUCAAAUGUAAAAAUCAAAAAGUAUAUUGUAAAAAUGUCUAUACUAUGCAAAGUAAUAUACAGAUUCAAUGCAAUUUCUAUCAAGAUUCCAAUGACAUUUUUCACAGAAAUAGAAAAA